rnacentral:lncRNA from 1 species
GACUAUAUUACAUGGAUUUAUUGUGAUGGUGUAGGUAGACUAUAUUACAUGGAUUUAUUGUGAUGGUGUAGACUAUAUUACAUGGAUUUAUUGUGAUGGUGUAGGUAGACUAUAUUACAUGGAUUUAUUGUGAUGGUGUAGGUAGACUAUAUUACAUGGAUUUAUUGUGAUGGUGUAGACUAUAUUACAUGGAUUUAUUGUGAUGGUGUAGACUAUAUUACAUGGAUUUAUUGUGAUGGUGUAGACUAUAUUACAUGGAUUUAUUGUGAUGGUGUAGGCUAUAUUACAUGGAUUUAUUGUGAUGGUGUAGGUAGACUAUAUUACAUGGAUUUAUUGUGAUGGUGUAGACUAUAUUACAUGGAUUUAUUGUGAUGGUGUAGGUAGUCUAUAUUACAUGGAUUUAUUGUGAUGGUGUAGGCUAUAUUACAUGGAUUUAUUGUGAUGGUGUAGGUAGACUAUAUUACAUGGAUUUAUUGUGAUGGUGUAGGUAGACUAUAUUACAUGGAUUUAUUGUGAUGGUGUAGGUAGACUAUAUUACAUGGAUUUAUUGUGAUGGUGUAGGUAGACUAUAUUACAUGGAUUUAUUGUGAUGGUGUAGGUAGACUAUAUUACAUGGAUUUAUUGUGAUGGUGUAGGUAGACUAUAUUACAUGGAUUUAUUGUGAUGGUGUAGGUAGACUAUAGUACAUGGAUUUAUUGUGAUGGUGUAGGUAGACUAUAGUACAUGGAUUUAUUGUGAUGGUGUAGACUAUAUUACAUGGAUUUAUUGUGAUGGUGUAGGUAGACUAUAUUACAUGGAUUUAUUGUGAAGGUGUAGACUAUAUUACAUGGAUUUAUUG